rnacentral:rRNA from 1 species
CUACGGGAGGCUGCAGUGAGGAAUAUUGCACAAUGGGGGGAACCCUGAUGCAGCAACGCCGCGUGGAGGAUGACGCAUUUCGGUGUGUAAACUCCUUUUAUAUGUCAAGAAAAUGACGGUAGCAUAUGAAUAAGCACCGGCUAACUCCGUGCCAGCAGCCGCGGUGAAUACGGAGGGCGCAAGCGUUACUCGGAAUCACUGGGCGUAAAGGACGCGUAGGCGGGUUGAAAAGUCAGGUGUGAAAGCCUACAGCUUAACUGUAGAACUGCACUUGAAACUCUCAAUCUAGAGUAUGGGAGGGGCAGAUGGAAUCAGAGGGGUAGGGGUAAGAGCCGUAGAUAUCACGAGGAAUAGCUAAAGCGAAGGCGAGCUGCUGGAACAUUACGGACGCUAAGGCGUGAAAGCGUGGGGAGCAAACAGGAUUAGAUACCCUAGUAGUC